rnacentral:rRNA from 2 species
UUAACCGAAUAGGGGAGCCGGAGGGAAACCGAGUCUUAACCGGGCGUUAAGUUGCAGGGUAUAGACCCGAAACCCGGUGAUCUAGCCAUGGGCAGGUUGAAGGUUGGGUAACACUAACUGGAGGACCGAACCGACUAAUGUUGAAAAAUUAGCGGAUGACCUGUGGCUGGGGGUGAAAGGCCAAUCAAACCGGGAGAUAGCUGGUUCUCCCCGAAAGCUAUUUAGGUAGCGCCUCGUGAAUUCAUCUCCGGGGGUAGAGCACUGUUUCGGCUAGGGGGCCAUCCCGGCUUACCAACCCGAUGCAAACUGCGAAUACCGGAGAAUGUUAUCACGGGAGACACACGGCGGGUGCUAACGUCCGUCGUGAAGAGGGAAACAACCCAGACCGCCAGCUAAGGUCCCAAAGUCAUGGUUAAGUGGGAAACGAUGUGGGAAGGCCCAGACAGCCAGGAUGUUGGCUUAGAAGCAGCCAUCAUUUAAAGAAAGCGUAAUAGCUCACUGGUCGAGUCGGCCUGCGCGGAAGAUGUAACGGGGCUAAACCAU